CCUACGGGCGGCAGCAGUGAGGAAUAUUGGUCAAUGGACGAGAGUCUGAACCAGCCAAGUAGCGUGAAGGAUGACUGCCCUAUGGGUUGUAAACUUCUUUUAUAUGGGAAUAAAAUGUUCCACGUGUGGGAUUUUGUAUGUACCAUAUGAAUAAGGAUCGGCUAACUCCGUGCCAGCAGCCGCGGUAAUACGGAGGAUCCGAGCGUUAUCCGGAUUUAUUGGGUUUAAGGGGAGCGUAGGUGGAUUGUUAAGUCAGUUGUGAAAGUUUGCGGCUCAACCGUAAAAUUGCAGUUGAAACUGGCAGUCUUGAGUACAGUAGAGGUGGGCGGAAUUCGUGGUGUAGCGGUGAAAUGCUUAGAUAUCACGAAGAACUCCUAUUGCGAAGGCAGUUCACUGGACUGCAACUGACACUGAGGCUCGAAAGUGUGGGUAUCAAACAGGAUUAGAUACCCCAGUAGUC
rnacentral:rRNA from 1 species